GCCGCGGAUAAUACAGCCUCCAUCCUUCGCCAGUCUGUCAGCGACAUCUUUCUUCUUGGUGCAGCAGUGAUCAUGUGACCUGACGUCAAGCCUCUUCCAGUCGACUUUUCCCCGGCGCUUUUCCCGCCUGUCACACGCACGUCCCGUCCCGCUGCGCUAGAGGCGAUUUCAAGAUGGACUUCGGCAUCCAGCUACAAGCUUCCACCGGAUGGGACAGAGUGACCGACGGAGGCUCAUUGGACGGGGAGCUGUGUGGGGACACAAUUAGUGGAGCAAAGAGGAGGCCUGAAGGGCGAGAUGGUGUUCGGGUGGAGGAGAGCGAGGAAGGUCAAGCAGAGCUGGUGGAUCCCUUUUUCAACUGAUUACAGGAUCCCGGACGCCUUCAGAUCCGUCAUCAGACUGAGAGUUGGAACUCAGCGUGGAAGACGGCACACACAACGUCUUCAGUGCACAUUUCAUCAGGUGUUCCUCCAGAAUGUGGCCAGUGAUCCAACACGCCCUCUUAUGUGAUUCUCUUGUCCCUAUUGGAUGAGUGCAGCCCCACAACAGAGAUUAGAGCAGCCAAAUGCAUCGAUGGCUCCUCAGGGACCGAAUGUUGGACCAUGGUCAAUACCCAGAGCCGUUAAUCCUCAUGUAGCCGGGCCCCGGUGACCAGACCGGGAGGUGAGGGGGACAUAUCACAGGAGGUUUAUCAAUACCUGCGUGAGGCAUUUUAGCCUUCUGAAUAUUUUGGGGGCUUGGAAUGUUUUACUGAAUUUACAGCCCAUGUGGUUAGUCAAUGAAUCACUAAGUAAUCAGCAGCAGCCCUCGUAUCAAUGGUGGAUGCGUUAGGACAAUAAACAGGAAAUGGUUUUAAUACUUUGUAAUAAGAUGUGAUGUUCAAAACGUUGUGUAAGACAGUAACAUGUA